rnacentral:rRNA from 1 species
AUACGUAGGGUGCAGCGCUAAUCGGAAUUACUGGGCGUAAAGCGUGCGCAGGCGGUUUUGUAAGACAGAGGUGAAAUCCCCGGGCUCAACCUGGGAACUGCCUUUGUGACUGCAAGGCUAGAGUACGGCAGAGGGGGAUGGAAUUCCGCGUGUAGCCGUGAAAUGCGUAGAUAUGCGGAGGAACACCGAUGGCGAAGGCAAUCCCCUGGGCCUGUGCUGACGCUCAUGCACGAAAGCGUGGGGAGUAAACAGGAUUAGAUACCCUGGUAGUCCACGCCCUAAACGAUGUCAACUGGUUGUUGGGUCUUCAUUGACUCAGUAACGAAGCUAACGCGUGAAGUUGACCGCCUGGGGAGUACGGCCGCAAGGUUGAAACUCAAAUGAAUUGACGGGG